rnacentral:rRNA from 1 species
GACGUAGGGCGCGAGCGUUGUCCGGAUUUAUUGGGCGUAAAGAGCUCGUAGGCGGCUUGUCGCGUCGACUGUGAAAUCCCGCGGCUCAACUGCGGGUCUGCAGUCGAUACGGGCAGGCUAGAGUUCGGUAGGGGAGACUGGAAUUCCUGGUGUAGCGGUGAAAUGUGCAGACUAUCAGGAGGAACACCGGUGGCGAAGGCGGGUCUCUGGGCCGAUACUGACGCUGAGGAGCGAAAGCGUGGGGAGCGAACAGG